rnacentral:lncRNA from 1 species
CUGUGUUCAUGUGUGGUUAACACCUAACAAGGCGGUUGCACAGCCAGGUUCAAGGGUAGGUCACAUGCACAUGACCUGACAUUCGGGUGGUCUGCUGUGACUGAAAGCCAAAAUGGCAGCAUCGGGCACAGAAACCUGGAGAGGUUUGCAGGGACUUGACUUCUGAAAGGCCACGAUUCUUCGGUGGCUGACAUCCAUAUGUCGUGCAAAAGGGGCAGGGAUGCAGCAGAUGCUUCCAGUGGAAUCCUCUCACCCAAGGGCACAGUCGUUCCUAUAAAGCCCAAGCCACCUGUCUGCAGUCAGGCCUGUGCUUCAGCAGGUGCCCAUGUUCUCAUCCCACAAACGAGGAAGUGGAUGCUCGGAGAGUUAAAGCGACUUACUCAAAGUCACACAUUUUAUAAAUAGUCCAAGUGUGAUUUGCAACCAGGCAAUUUACAUUUUUAUGUCUUUUUAAAAAUUCUCCAGAGUGCCAAUUAUGUAAUUGUCACCAGCUUGCUCCAAUUCCAUCUGUCCCCUGGAUCUCGUAUCCGAUGUGGCUGCAAAAUCCCCACGGAUCUCACUGUGUAACAAUGCAGCAUCCUGAGAGGACUGUUCACCCCCUCCAGUGCUGUGGUCUGAAUGCUUGCAUCCCCCCACAUUUGUAUGUUGAAAUCUUAACCCCCAAGGUGAUGGUGUUAGGAGGUGGGGCCUUUGGGAGGUGACUACGUCAUGAGGGUGGGGCCCCGUGAAUGGGAUUAGUGCCCUUAUAAAAGGGGCUGCAGAGAGCUGGCUGGCCCCUUCCACCACGUGAAGACACAGCAGGAAAUUGGCAGCCUGCAAUUGGAGGAGGGGACUCGACAGAACCCGACCGUGCUGGCACCCUGAUAUUGGACUUGCAGUCUCCAGAACUGAGUGAAAUAAAUCUCUGUUUCUAAGCCACCAAGUCUGUGAUACUUUGUCAUCAAAGCCCGAAUGGACUGACACUCAUCUUCCCAGGAUCCAAUUCAGGGUAUAAUGAUGACGUUGCACUUGGCGAUCGCGUCUCCUUAGUCUCCGGUCUGUCACAGUUUCUCGGACUUGCCUUGUUUUCACUAACUUCAGCAGUUUGGAGGAUAUUGGCCAUGCACUCUGUAGAGUCCCCUUCAGUCUUUCCUGAGGCAUCAUGGUGUUUUGGGAGGAACAGCGCACAGGUGGUGUUUGCUGGGUUUCCCCCGUCCAGACUCUAUUCUUUCAGAGUCAGGAGGGGAGACAGCGACAGAGGAGACUUGAAAUUCUUCUGUGGGGAAGACUCAACUCUUCUCAUUUGCUUAUUCCAACGUUUAUUUGUAUCAGUGGACACCCUGCAUGUUUAUCUUGGAUUUUGGUUAUAAUUCUAUCCUACGUUAUUUAUUUCUUUGCUUGAAUUGGUCCAGCUUUUGGCUGUUGAGUGUGCAUUGACGUGACCCUAUCCUUUUGCAUUUGGAGCACUUGCUUAAAUUCUGGCACUAUAAGACGCUCCAUGCUCAUCUUGUGUUUUCCCUGCCCUGACCCUCGAAUCGGACAUUUCUCCAAGCAGUCCUAGUUCUUUUUAUUGGAGGAUGGCCUUUAGAAACUAAGACCCGGGCACUGAGUGUGCUUGUUGCUACCAGAGUGCUGCUGCUUCUAGGCCUCUCAGCCGACAGAGCUGGGAAUAUGUGUGCUGUUACUAACCCACGCACACUCAGAUACCUAUAAUGAUUUCUGGAUUAUCUGCGCCUGUGCUAACCUAGACACGAGUCCAUGCUGCUGCUUCAGACUCUCAUCCAGGAGCACGGGGCCCAUUCUGCCCUCCCUCUUGCUCAUCUGUAACUUUCCUGUCCGUCAGUGAUGACCCUGGUUGUUUCCACCCACUUCCCUGUUUCUUCCACUCCAGUCUGCAUGAGAAGCCGUUUUGGAAUUGUUAGCCCUACUCCUGGGAGAAGCAACUUCACCGAGUAGGGCACAGCGUUUGUGUGUGCUUCCUUCUGUCUUGAACCUGAUAGUGUCCAGUCAAACACCACUUUUCAAAGCUUCUUAGGUCAGCUCCGGUCUCCCCUUCGGUGAUCGUGUCGUGUAUUUGUAACAGUUUGAUUCAUUUGUCACAGUUUUUGUUCCCUCCUGGAUCUUCCAUACUCUUGGUUGAUUUUAAAAAAUUUGCAUAUAUUAAAGUUCACUUUCCAUAGGGAA